GUGAGGAAUAUUGGUCAAUGGGCGGGAGCCUGAACCAGCCAAGUCGCGUGAAGGAAGAAGGAUCUAUGGUUCGUAAACUUCUUUUGCAGGGGAAUAAAGUGCAGGACGUGUCCUGUUUUGUAUGUACCCUGAGAAUAAGGAUCGACUAACUCCGUGCCAGCAGCCGCGGUAAUACGGAGGAUCCGAGCGUUAUCCGGAUUUAUUGGGUUUAAAGGGUGCGUAGGUGGUUUGAUAAGUCAGCGGUGAAAGUUUGCAGCUUAACUGUAAAAAUGCCGUUGAAACUGUCGGACUUGAGUGUAAAUGAGGUAGGCGGAAUGCGUGGUGUAGCGGUGAAAUGCAUAGAUAUCACGCAGAACUCCGAUUGCGAAGGCAGCUUACUAAGCUACAACUGACACUGAAGCACGAAAGCGUGGGGAUCAAACAGGAUUAGAUACCCGAGUAGUCC
rnacentral:rRNA from 1 species